rnacentral:lncRNA from 1 species
GGACGAAAGUGCGUGUAGUGCGGUCGACAAAACGCCUCGUUCUUUUCAGUGACACUUGAAGUGUCAUGGUCAGAAGUGUAAAAUAAUUGAUCAGUUAUGUUCCUAAGCUCGUUUCCUCGCGUAUUACCGGCGAUGAAUGCCUUCCCGGCGGGUAAUUUUCGGCGCGUUCAGUCGCCGCAACAUUCCAGAACCACGUGCGUCGGACCAAGGCAUCGGUUCGACUGGUUGUACCACGCCAACGCCCGUGCCUAUUGUAUUCUGCGAACGUUACGACGUGUGUGCGAGAGAUUCACGCUGUCUUUAUGCAAUACCAACGGACAAGCAUUGAAGUAUGCUUCCAAGCACUCCAAGUCUUUGAAUGUGCACAUUGAGCCAUCUGAUGCUGGAUCAGCCAAUUUUGUGGCAACAAAAGCCACCAUAUUGACCUUUUGGUGAGUGGAUAGAAUCUUUUCACUUUUGCGACUCCCGACAUGCGCCGCUUCAGCAUCCCGGUAAGUCUUCCCAGCAAAAGUGCUGCCAUUUACAUAUGCUUGCAUGUGCCAUUACAAAUGUUUUUGGUAAAACUUUGCCAGCUGAAGGUUCUAUGCACCACAACAAUGUGACUGCAUGGCAGCAUCAUAGCCCGUUGAAAUGAACAGGUGCAAAAGCACGGCUGGCUGCCGAUGGAGAAGCCCUCGACUUUUUUUACGCAAUCAUA